rnacentral:lncRNA from 1 species
GCUAGACUGCAGUUAAUGUAGCUCAAGCAGGCUGGUUGACCAUUCGUCACCGCCCCGUUUCAAAGGGGAUGUCAAU